rnacentral:tRNA from 2 species
CAGGGAGACAACAAAAUGUUUAAUAUUAUUAUUUUGUCACCUUAGGUCGAUCGGUAUCUCACGUUCUUAAUUAAUUAAGAAUUUCAUUUCCUAAGUUUUUCUAGGUCACACCCAUUAUUUUUCCUGGGCCAUUAGCUCAGGUGGUUAGAGCGCACCCCUGAUAAGGGUGAGGUCCCUGGUUCAAGUCCAGGAUGGCCCAUAUCUCUAUGUUGGGGGUAUAGCUCAGUUGGUAGAGCGCCUGCUUUGCAAGCAGGAUGUCAGCGGUUCGAGUCCGCUUACCUCCACUGAUUACCACCUCUUCCAUAAUCUGUAGAAAGGAAAUUUUUUGAGUUGUGAUCAAAUUCUGAACGAAUCUAGCUUCCUAAUGAAAGCAUUAAGAUGCUGGACUCAUUGAAUUAAAUUCAUUGUUUUCAGAGAACCUUGACAACUGCAUAGAUUAUUUUUUAAAGACAAUAAGCAUCUUUAAUGAUGCAGAUUUAUUAUUUGUGCGAAUGCAUUAAUAACAAUUCUAUUAAGCUGAUGCUUCAAUUUUGAAGUUAUU